GAUGAACGCUGGCGGCGUGCCUAAUACAUGCAAGUCGAGCGAACAGACGAGGAGCUUGCUCCUCUGACGUUAGCGGCGGACGGGUGAGUAACACGUGGAUAACCUACCUAUAAGACUGGGAUAACUUCGGGAAACCGGAGCUAAUACCGGAUAAUAUAUUGAACCGCAUGGUUCAAUAGUGAAAGACGGUUUUGCUGUCACUUAUAGAUGGAUCCGCGCCGCAUUAGCUAGUUGGUAAGGUAACGGCUUACCAAGGCAACGAUGCGUAGCCGACCUGAGAGGGGGGGCGGCCACCUGGACAAGGAGACACGUCCCAGACCCCUAGGGGGGGAACAAGAAGGGAUUCUUCCGAAAGGGGCGAAGGCCGGACGGGACAACGCGGGGUGAGUGAGGAGGGUCUCGGGAUCGAAAAACUUUGUUAUGGGAGAAAAAAAAGUGUGAAAGUACUUGGGCACGUCUGGACGGUACCUAACAAGAAAGCCCCGGCUAACUACGUG
rnacentral:rRNA from 1 species